ACAGAACCUUCUUACCCAACAUCCCAUUAGCUUCAGUGUUUCACUGAGCUGGCCGAGCUGUUAAAUUUCUUGAUAAUCUAUCCUUAGGAAGCAGUAAAAACAGCAUUUGACCGAAGAUAGGAGCUUGGACCAGGGAAGGAAUAUCCAAAUUCAAAGAAGACAGAGGAGAAGGUAGGAGCAGAAGAUGCGAGAACUGAGUUGGGUGGCUGCCAAAAGCUUACGCUGAAAGCACCUCAGGGAGAGUCUCUUUAUCUGCUCAGGGGUGAGCCCGGCCUCCACAAGUGUCCCUAAUCCUGCCAAGGAAAGCACAACUGCCUGUAAUCAGCACGUAGACAGCAUGCUGGGUACAAAGCUGGAAGGCAAUGUUAAAAGCAGGACCCCCGGGACCCCACGUGGAAGUCAUGGCAGGGCUUUCUCCAGAGUUUUCUUACAAAUUACAAAGUCACAGAUCAAGUGCAGAUAUAAAUCUAUAAAUAUGUAAUAAUAGAAACAAUUUAAAAAGGCAGGAAGAGUCUAAGUAUGGCUGUGAAAGGACAUCGAGGGUUGAGAAAUGCACAUUCCAGUUUGAUAAAUUCACUUGAGUAAGUCACUUGAAUUUCCCCAUGGAAUUUCAGCUAAACCACAGAGAAUGGAGGCCACGCGAUAGGAGGGCUGCGGGUCCUGCACUUCCCCCAUGCAUUUAAGAAAGACUGAGCUGCUGGGAGAGAAAACGUUAACAGGAAUGUCACCUUCAGCAGUCAAGGGCUUCAGACAUUCAAAACCCUAUGAACGUCAGUAUUAAAACAUGUAUAUAUAUAUUUUAAAGACAGGGUAUCACUAUAUUCUCCAAGCUGGUCUUGAACUGCUGAGCUCAAGUGAUCCUCCUGCCUUGGCCUCCCAAAGUGCUGGGAUUACAGGCUUGAGCUACGAUGCCUAGCUUCAACUUCAGUAUUUUACUAUCUUCCAACAACCUCUCUUAACACUUCAACCAGCACAUCAAAGACCUGUGGCAUUUAAAGACCCUAGACAAAUGCAGAGUGAACAAAUUCCAUUAUGAGCCUGUUACAUGCCCAGGUGCUUGCAAACACGUUUAAAUUUUAACUUAUUUAGGUCCAAUCUUGUACUUGGAGACGUGAUUAAGUUUUUAUAAAAGCUGGGUGAGGUGGCUCAUGCUUGUUGUAAUAAUCCUGCUGCUUUGGGAGGCUGAG
rnacentral:lncRNA from 1 species